rnacentral:lncRNA from 1 species
AUGAAGUCUUCCUGGGAUAGGAUGGUCUGUGGUGUGAUGCCCCAAAGCAUGUCAUCCAACUGCCUAGAGACGAUCUGAACAUUCCUAAUGAGCUUGAGGGGACAAUGACCAACCAAAUGAUGAGCAGGGAGCACCUCCACCAAGAACAGGAAAGCCUCAAGAGAAACAAAGUGCAAUAACAGCUUCCUCUGAACAUGGUGGUCUCCCAGCCUCCCUCAAUUGCUGUCCCUCUUCAAACAGAACACACUCAAACCCUUCAUGUCUCCAUCCCGUGGCACUGGGCUUGAUCAGGAUGCAUUUCAAUCAGA